AAACUUGUCCAUAGCUCCUACUUGAUAUUGAAUAAACUCUUCAGUUUUUUUUUCUUUUUUCAUGUCCAGACAAAUACUUUCUAGUAGACAGGUUAAAGCAGUACAACAAUUCAACAAAACAAAAUCAAUACAAAAAUACGAGAUUAAACUUUAAAUUAGUUGAGGAACAAUAAAACCUGGUCCAUGCCAUUUUUCCUUUAUUGUGUGUGCAUAAGAGAUGGCUGCAGCCUCCAAGUUUGCUGAUGAGUGAUGCCUCCAAUAACGCUGCAUGGACGGUGGGGGGAAAGAAAAAGUGAGACAAAAAUGGAAGAUGAUAUUUUUCACAUAUGUAAUCUAUUUGCUAGCCUGCACUUUUGGAUUAUGCAUAAACAAUUUGAAAAUGAAUUGAAAACAUUAAGUUUUGAAAUUGAUUAGUGAUUAGCGGAUUUUGUUAAAGAAAAAUGCAAUGGUAGUGAGAGAAGACCCGAGCGUAUGCUAAUAUCUUCAAAAUUAAACAUUCAAAGAGAGAAUUAAUUUUAUGUUGGGUUUAAAAAAAAUUAAUUGUAAGUGACUGUUGGAGUGGAAUUUGAAGAGAUAAAAAAGACUUUUUGUCUUUUAAGAAAAAGAAAAGGGAUUUUUGGAAGAUAAAUUGUCAAAUUAAUUAUAUAGAGAGAGAAAGUUAUGAUUAUGAUAUAUUUACACAAUAAAUACAUGUAAGUAUUUAUAAAUUUAUACGUUUUUUAAAAAAAAAUUGCAUUUUUAAUUUUUAUUAAUUUCUUGUGUUCACAUAUGACAAUUCUUUUUUAAAUAACUACACUAAUAUAAUUUUCAUUUUUCUUUGACUACCCAUAAUCUUACAGAAUUUGGGGGCCCUCGUCAAAGUGGGCCUUAGGCGAUCGCUUAUAUCGCCUAUACUUAGGGCCACCACUGGUCUAACGUCUUUUUGACCUAAAGUUUGGUUCUUUUGUCAAUUGAGGAGUUAUGUUAUUGGCUUCUUGCUAUCUUCUUCUAAGGAUGACGUAAUUUGACACCCGAUGUGCUUUGGACAAGAUUAAAAUUUAAGGUUUCAAGAUCAAAGAUGGCCUUUUAUGGUCGCAUCGCCCAACUUCUACCAUGGACUUGUCCUUAUCUUGAUGUGUAUCUUUUACCCAUGAUUUAAUUUUAGUUGAUGAACAGGGAGAAAAUGAUUAGAAAAAACAGAAACUACAGAAAUUUCCCAAUAGGCCUGCAUUCCCUUAUUUAUAUGGCAUUGGCUCUUUAUUUGCUGCCUCUUAGUUGAAGGGAAAUGCAUAUAUGCAUAUAGAGAGAUGUUGAUGGCAGGAAAAAGUUGAUGUUGCUAAAGAGAGGGGGAAAUACUGCCUUCUCUUCCUCCGAUUGAAGAGAAGACAAAAUGUGAUGGUAAUUUCGCAGCUGCUGUGGGGUCCAACAAGGGAAAGGAAUGUGGUGAUUUUCCAAUUGGAUACAAUAGGUGAGUUCUAUUGAGAACCUGUCACUGUGCUCCAGUACUAACGACGUAGAAACCUUGUAGUGAUCAUUGAUUCAUUGUAGAGAUAGAAGGAAAAAAUAGGUAAUGUUAUUGUUGUUUUUAUACUGUGAGGAAGGAGAAAAGGCUAGAACUUAUAUUAUAGAUAACGAAGUUUGAAAUUAACUCUUUCUUUUCUAAUUUAAUUAGGCCAGGGGAUCUAUAGUUCCCAAACUUUAGCCUUUAUGACUGUUGGGGGCUAGGGAAACUUUUGCUGAUAGUGUGCUCGCAAAAUAGUAAGCUGACACAAAUUUCAUAUUUUCUUGUAUUUUUUUUUCCCACCUCACUAUCUUCUUUCACAAACAGAGAUGAUUAAGUUCUGUUGGUGUGUGACUGGAAUCAGGCAAUGGUGAGACUCAUGAUUGAGACUUCUGUUUUGCAUAUUAUUAGUUUGGGAGUCUGAAAGUAAGCGAUUUAGAUUUGGGUUUUGUGUUUUUUUUUCCCUCUUUUGUGUCUAUCUAUCUUAUAUAUAGUUUCUGAGAUCCAUUGGCUUUGUGAAUGUGUAUGUGGAUAUACAUGGAGGGGAAAGGCCUGUGGUCUGUAACUGUGCCAUAACAAAGAACAAAUGAAACUCUCAGACAGCGGAGAAGGUUGACUGCCCCCACCUUUCUGGAUUUAGCCCUUUGUUUACAUUCUACCUCUUAAGUUUCGUUAAUAAUACUUUGAAAAGAAAUCUGAUAGAACCUCAAAUUAGUAGUUAGUUCAAUUGUCAUUUAAGUUGAGGAUAUAAUGGGAUUUAGAAGAAUAAGUAGUAUGGGCAGGCAACUAUCUACAAAAAUGGGAAGAUAGUUUCAUUUGGUGAUAUUCAGAAAAUGGGAAAUUAGUGUGGGGGAGAGAGUUGAACCUCUCGAAAUUUCUCAUUUCAUUGUAUCCAUUUCAAUAUCAAUUCUGCUCUCCAUUUAGCACAGAAAAUCAAAUACAGUUUGCUACAAUUUUAUUAUGUUCUUCCAUUAUAGAAGUAAAUCAGCAGGAUCUUACCAAAAUCUUAUUUUGCUCAAUCAUUCUGUACCUCAUGUGGUUAAUAAAGUUUUCUCUAUCAAAGAGAUUGGCCAUAGUUGGUCUUACCAUCUUAAGUUUUCUGUGUGCUGUAGUUUGUCUGCAUCUGGCUCCUUAAAACCUUCCCCUGUAAUCCGUCUGAUUUAUUUCUGACUUUUAAUUGCAG
rnacentral:lncRNA from 1 species